ACUCCUACGGGAGGCAGCAGUAGGGAAUCUUCCACAAUGGGUGCAAACCUGAUGGAGCAAUGCCGCGUGAGUGAAGAAGGUCUUCGGAUCGUAAAGCUCUGUUGUUAGAGAAGAACACGUGCUAGGUAACUACUAGCGCCUUGACGGUAUCUAACCAGAAAGUCACGGCUAACUACGUGCCAGCAGCCGCGGUAAUACGUAGGUGACAAGCGUUGUCCGGAUUUAUUGGGCGUAAAGGGAGCGCAGGCGGUCUGUUUAGUAUAAUGUGAAAGCCCACGGCUUAACCGUGGAACGGCAUUGGAAACUGACAGACUUGAAUGUAGAAGAGGAAAAUGGAAUUCCAAGUGUAGCGGUGGAAUGCGUAGAUAUUUGGAGGAACACCAGUGGCGAAGGCGAUUUUCGGGUCUAACAUUGACGCUGAGGCUCGAAAGCGUGGGGAGCGAACAGGAUUAGAUACCCUAGUAGUCCCAUGAA
rnacentral:rRNA from 1 species